UAGAAUCAGACAAUGGACCUACUUUCAUGUCAGCAGUAACACAGGCAGUAGGUAGAACCUUAGGGACAGAAUGGAAGCUCCAUUGUGCAUAUAGACCUUGGAGAUCAAGACAGGUGCUUCAAUAGGUCCAGAAAAAGGUCCACUGCACCCUGUGGAAGGUCUUACCACUCCCCAGCUGGAAGCCAGCCCACUCAUUCCAGCCUGGAGAUUUGGUGUUGGCAAAGAGCUUUACCAAUGAAGGACUAAAGCCACAUUGGAAGGGGUUGCAUCUCAUUGUCCUUACAAUACCCUCUGCUGGGAUCCCCACCUGGAUUCAUCACACCCGAGUGAAGGCCUCUCCAGAAUGGUGGACUCUGGAGCCAGGACCUGAGCAACUUAAGAUUACUGAAGAUGGUAAAACAACAAGUUCUUCCUCUCUUCAUCCUAAUAUUAUAAUAUUCUAGUGGAAUGACUUACUAAUUUUGAAUAGUUUAAUGAACUAUUUUCCUUUUAAAACUACAGCAGAAAUGACAUCACUUGUAGUGAGCCUGUGAGUAUAUUUGUAUUUAUUAAUCAAGGAAGAAUACAUUUGUUCAGUUGUAAAUAACAAGCUCUUAGUCAAAUGAUUAUCUGUAUAAAUUUCCCUACUCAGACACAACAAAUAGAUA